AUACGGGAGGCAGCAGUAAGGAAUAUUGGUCAAUGGACGCAAGUCUGAACCAGCCAUCCCGCGUGCAGGAUUAAGGUCCUAUGGAUUGUAAACUGCUUUUAGUAGGGACGAAACGCUUUCAUUUAUGAGAGUCUGACGGUACCUACAGAAUAAGCACCGGCUAACUCCGUGCCAGCAGCCGCGGUAAUACGGAGGGUGCAAGCGUUAUCCGGAAUCACUGGGUUUAAAGGGUGCGUAGGCGGGUUAUUAAGUCAGUGGUGAAAUACUGUCGCUUAACGAUAGAGCUGCCAUUGAUACUGAUAGUCUUGAAUUGGGUUGAGGUUAGCGGAAUGUGACAUGUAGCGGUGAAAUGCAUAGAUAUGUCAUGGAACACCAAUUGCGAAGGCAGCUAACUGGGCCUUGAUUGACGCUGAGACACGAAAGCGUGGGUAGCGAACAGGAUUAGAUACCCUAGUAGUCCC
rnacentral:rRNA from 1 species